GGAGGGGGCUAGCGUUGUUCGGAAUUAUUGGGCGUAAAGGGCGCGUAGGCGGCUUUGCAAGUCGGAGGUGAAAUCCCUCGGCUCAACCGAGGAACUGCCUCCGAAACUGCAGAGCUUGAGUCCCGGAGAGGAUAGCGGAAUUCCCAGUGUAGCGGUGAAAUGCGUAGAUAUUGGGAGGAACACCAGUGGCGAAGGCGGCUAUCUGGACGGGUACUGACGCUGAGGCGCGAAAGCGUGGGGAGCAAACAGGGAUUAGAUACCCUGGUAGUCCACGCUGUAAACGAUGGGCACUUGGUGUUGCGGGUAUCGACCCCCCCUGCAGUGCCGAAGCUAACGCAUUAAGUGCCCCCCGCCUGGGGAUACGGUCGCAAGGCUG
rnacentral:rRNA from 1 species